CCUACGGGUGGCUGCAGUGAGGAAUAUUGGUCAAUGGCCGAGAGGCUGAACCAGCCAAGUCGCGUGAGGGAAGACGGCCCUACGGGUUGUAAACCUCUUUUGUCGGGGAGCAAAGCGAGUCACGUGUGACUCAUUGAGAGUACCCGAAGAAAAAGCAUCGGCUAACUCCGUGCCAGCAGCCGCGGUAAUACGGAGGAUGCAAGCGUUACUCGGAUUUAUUGGGGUUAAAGGGGGCGUAGGCGGAGAGGCAAGUCAGCGGUAAAAUCUAGGGGCUAAACCUCGAACUGCAUUUGAAACUGUAUCUCUUGAGUACGCGAGAAGUAGGUGGAAUGCGUGGUGUAGGGGUGAAAUCCGUAGAGAUCAAGCAGAAUACUGAUUGCGAAGGCGGCAUGCCAGCACGUAACUGACGCUCAUGCGCGAAAGCGUGGGUAGCAAACAGGAUUAGAUACCCGGGUAGUC
rnacentral:rRNA from 1 species